CUCCACCACACUUUUUCUUUCUUGUUUCACCAAUUAUAGUAAGGAUUAAGGAAGCCAAAAGUGCUAGCAUCACACUAAGGCCAUCAAGGGUGCAUCAAUCUUAAGCACAAGCUCCAAGAGGCUUACGCAUCAUCCCCUACUCCACCUCCAUUAAUCUUGUUGGUUCGAGUGACAGCCGGCGUUAGUACGACCCCGAGCGUUGUGUCAUCGACUCCUGAGACAGGUCUGGCUUGGCGCGAGGAUGGGUGAAGGCUGUUGGAAUUGUCAGUUGACCGUGUCUUUCUAUGUCUCAUGCUUAUCUUAUUGCUAUGACUCUAUAAGUUAUUAAACUCCCUGCUAUAUGUCUUCACACAUAUAGUAACGCAUCGCUGCACAACUCUGAUGAAUCUCUUUAUUUAAUUUGCUGUUGCCUGUAAUAUCCCAUAGGGGAAAAUACUCUCAAACCUUGCGAAGUCUCGAAUUAUGUUUUACCAAGCAAGUAAUUUAAUUUAGUCUUAAAGUCUUUCUUGAAAAA